UGAGCGAUGAAUUUCGUUCAAGUUAUGUAGUAUUGAUCAAUACAGGGUACAACGGGGCUGAUCACCCUCCGUGCCCGUAAGUUAUGACGGUUUGCGGAUGGAUUUCUGCUAAACCUUUUCGAAAAUGAAAAGAAUGUUCAUAGUAUGUUUCUUAAACCCUAUUCAUGGGUGGAGCCUAAUUUCAAGAAAUUGAAAGAGAGUUG
rnacentral:lncRNA from 1 species